UGGCAAAGCGCCGUUGGUCCUCCGUUUGAAAACCAUGAUCGCGGUUAGUGGAAAGAGUAGGCUGAGUCCUGAUUUUUAAACUAUACGGUGUUACAAUGUGCAUCUGCGUAAGCCUGAGAUCAUAUUGAAAUCCUGCCCAGAAUAUGGAGCUUCAAAGAAGACUAGAUCCAUAUAAAGAAACAGAAACUCAAAGAAGUAACCAGGUCUGUAAACCCCGCACUUUGAGAGGCUGAGGCAGAAGGGAUUGUUUGAAGCCAGGAGAUUGAGACCAGCCUGCACAAUAUAAGGAGA